GGUCCCGUAGCGCAGAGGCAGGCGCGCUCGGCCCUCGGCCGAGACACGCCGGUUCGAAUCCGGCCGGGACCGCC
rnacentral:tRNA from 2 species